rnacentral:rRNA from 11 species
CCUUAGUUGCCAUCAUUAAGUUGGGCACUCUAAGGAAACCGCCGGUGAUAAGCCGGAGGAAGGUGGGGAUGACGUCAAGUCCUCAUGGCCUUUAUGCCCAGGGAUGCAAACGUGCUACAAUGGUACGGACAAAGCGAUGCGAUACCGCGAGGUGGAGCAAAUCGCAAAAACCGUGCCCCAGUUCGGAUAGCAGGCUGAAAUUCGCCUGCUUGAAGCCGGAAUCGCUAGUAAUCGCGUAUCAGCUACGACGCGGUGAAUACGUUCCUGAGCCUUGUACACACCGCCCGUCACGUCAUGGAAGCUGCUAGUGCCCGAAGUCACCUCGUUUCAGGGGUGCCUACGGCAAGAGUGGUGACUGGGACGAAGUCGUAACAAGGUAGCCGUAGGAGAACCUGCGGCUGGAUCACCUCCUU